rnacentral:rRNA from 1 species
GUGUCAGCCGCCGCGGUAAAACGUAGGAGGCAAGCGUUAUCCGGAUUCACUGGGCGUAAAGCGUGCGUAGGCGGUUGGGUAAGUCGGAUGUUAAAGCCCCUGGCUCAACUGGGGGAGGUCAUUCGAUACUGCCCGGCUUGAGGAUGAGAGAGGAGAGCGGAAUUCCCGGUGUAGCGGUGGAAUGCGUAGAGAUCGGGAGGAACACCAGCGGCGAAAGCGGCUCUCUGGCUCAUAUCUGACGCUGAGUGCACGACAGCGUGGGGAGCAAACGGGAUUAGAUACCCCGGUAGUCCACGCUAUAAACGAUGAGGGCUGGGUGUUGGUUCCAUUCGGAAUCGGUGCCGAAGCAAACGCGUUAAGCCCUCCGCCUGGGGACUACGAUCGCAAGAUUAAA